AGAGUUUGAUCAUGGCUCAGAAUCAACGCUGGCGGCGUGCCUAACACAUGCAAGUCGCACGAGAAAGGGGCUUCGGCUCUGAGUAAAGUGGCGCACGGGUGAGUAACACGUGAAUGAUCUACCUCCGAGUGGGGAAUAACUGAGAGAAAUCUUAGCUAAUACCGCAUAACACUUACGAGUCAAAGCAGCAAUGCGCUUGGAGAGGAGUUCGCGGCCGAUUAGUUAGUUGGCGGGGUAAUGGCCCACCAAGACGAUGAUCGGUAUCCGGCCUGAGAGGGCGCACGGACACACUGGAACUGAAACACGGUCCAGACUCCUACGGGAGGCAGCAGUGGGGAAUUUUGCGCAAUGGGGGAAACCCUGACGCAGCAACGCCGCGUGGAGGAUGAAAUCCCUUGGGAUGUAAACUCCUUUCGAUAGGGAAGAUUAUGACGGUACCUAUAGAAGAAGCCCCGGCUAACUUCGUGCCAGCAGCCGCGGUAAUACGAGGGGGGCAAGCGUUGUUCGGAAUUAUUGGGCGUAAAGGGCGCGUAGGCGGUUUGACAAGUCUGAUGUGAAAUCUCUGGGCUCAACCCAGAGUCUGCAUUAGAAACUGUCGGGCUUGAGUAUGGGAGAGGUGAGUGGAAUUUCCGGUGUAGCGGUGAAAUGCGUAGAUAUCGGAAGGAACACCUGUGGCGAAAGCGGCUCACUGGACCAUAACUGACGCUGAGGCGCGAAAGCUAGGGGAGCAAACAGGAUUAGAUACCCUAGUAGUCC
rnacentral:rRNA from 1 species